rnacentral:rRNA from 1 species
AUGCGGCUGCUGCACUGGCGGACAGGUCCCUUCCUCGAGGCAGACCCCUGGGUGACAGAGAGGGGAUCCAGAUUGGUUAGCAGUGUUCAGCGCUCGGCUCUUUUGCUUGCCGCCUCCCACUGGGGUUUGAUGCCCACUGGUUUUAUGUCUUCUGGUUAUGGUUCGUCUAGUCGCAGAUGUCGUUUAUCUUGCCUCAUCCUGGGAUUUCCUUCUGUGUUGUUUUGGGCUGCGGCUUGUGAGUGUCAUCAGGUUUUCGUCCCAUGGCGGGUGGUCCGUUCUAGGAUCAUCCUGUUGUGGGUUUCCUGUUGA